rnacentral:rRNA from 1 species
UACAGAGGUCUCAAGCGUUGUUCGGAUUCAUUGGGCGUAAAGGGUGCGUAGGUGGCGAGGCAAGUCAGAUGUGAAAUCCCGGGGCUCAACCCCGGAACUGCAUUUGAAACUGCCUUGCUCGAGUACUGGAGAGGAGACUGGAAUUUACGGUGUAGCAGUGAAAUGCGUAGAUAUCGUAAGGAAGACCAGUGGCGAAGGCGAGUCUCUGGACAGUCACUGACACUGAGGCACGAAGGCCAGGGGAGCAAACGGG